CCGCGAACUCUAAUAAAAAACAUGUAAUCGUAUUUAUUUUCCUUCCAUUUUGUCAGAGGCGCUGAUGUCGGCAUUGUGAUUGGUGGAACAUGACUUUUGACAAAUCUUGCGCUAUCUGUGAAUCUGUGUUCAGUGUUCGUGUUCGUUCGUUCGUUGUCGUUGUUAUUUUAUAUGGUCGGUUAUGUGAUGUGUUUGUGGUUUGUGUCACCAUAAAAAGCUGAUAUUCAGUUGUGUUUUUUUGAUAUUUUGUAAUCGAGUACCUUUUUAAAGGUCUAAUGGCUCCGAUCAGCUGUUGUGUGCAGGUGCAGACGGUGGAAAAGUUCAACAAGUAAACAUAUAUUUAAUCCAAAUUAAAUACUCAUAUUUCUAUGUAAAAUGUCACAUUAUUUUAUAAAUAAAUAAGUAAGAAACAAAA